GACGAACGCUGGCGGCGUGCCUAAUACAUGCAAGUUGAGCGCUGAAGGUUUGUACUUGUACCAACUGGAUGAGCAGCGAACGGGUGAGUAACGCGUGGGGAAUCUGCCUUUUAUCGGGGGACAACAUUUGGAAACGAAUGCUAAUACCGCAUAAAAACUUUAAACACAAGUUUUAAGUUUGAAAGAUGCAAUUGCAUCACUCAAAGAUGAUCCCGCGUUGUAUUAGCUAGUUGGUGAGGUAAAGGCUCACCAAGGCGAUGAUACAUAGCCGACCUGAGAGGGUGAUAGGCCACAUUGGGACUGAGAAAAGGCCCAAACUCCUACGGGAGGCAGCAGUAGGGAAUCUUCGGCAAUGGACGAAAGUCUGACCGAGCAAAGCCGCGUGAGUGAAGAAGGUUUUCGGAUCGUAAAACUCUGUUGGUAGAGAAGAAAGUUGGUGAGAGUGGAAAGCUCAUCAAGUGACGGUAACUACACAGAAAGGGACGGCUAACUACGUG
rnacentral:rRNA from 1 species